rnacentral:misc_RNA from 1 species
GGAAGGCAAAUUAAGUAGUCAAGAACAAUGACAAACUGACAAUAGAUAAAAGGCGUUAAGAACCAUCCAUCCAAAUGAAGCACAGAAUUAAAGGAACAAUUGCACAUGGAACAUUCCUAGUAAUCAUUCUCUAGUCAUGAGAUGGUCCUCACACAUCUUAUUGCUGUUGUUUUUUCCUCUUUAUUGAAGGCUUCCUGGCCGGAAUAUUUAGCUCUGGUAGUACUUUUGAUUGGUCAGCAUGUGGUUCUUCAGGUAA